UAUCAAACUCAUGGGUUAUGACCAUGCCAUGCUUGGAUUCGCUCCUUACGGUCCAUACUGGCGUGGUAUGAGGAAGCUCGCCGUGGUUGAGCUCCUCUCAAACCACCGGCUCGAUUCGUUCAAGCAUGUGAGAGAUGCAGAAACCAAUCUUUUCGUCAAGGGGUUGUACGAGAAAUGGUUAAGCAACGGUGAAAACCCAGUUACAGUGGAGAUGGAGAAGGAUUUUGGGCAUGUGGCUAUGAAUAUAACGGUGAGGAUGGUCGCAGGAAAACGUUAUCUGAGUGGCAAGUGGCUAUGAAUAUAACGGUGAGGAUGGUCGCAGGAAAACGUUAUCUGAGUGGCAACGAAGGGGAUGAAGAGGAGUCAUCAAGAUGCCGCAAAGCUCUGGGAGAUUUCUCCCAUCUUGUGGGGGAAUUUAUGGUCUCAGAUGCAAUACC
rnacentral:lncRNA from 1 species